rnacentral:rRNA from 2 species
UUUAAAUGUAAAAUUAUAUGCUAAAGUAGUAUUAGUUAAGUUCUUGAAAUUUAAAAAUUUUGGCGGUAUUUUAGUCUAUUCAGAGGAACCUGUUCUAUAAUUGAUAAUCCACGAUUUACUUUACUUAAUUUAAUUAAUUUGUAUAUCAUCGUUAUUAGAUAAUUUUAUAAGAAUAUAAAUUUUUAAGAUUUUAAAUAAAUAAAUAAAUCAGAUCAAGAUGCAGUUUAUAGUUAAGAAGAAAUGGGUUACAAUAAAUUUAUUUAUAUGGAUUAUUAGAUGAAAUUUUAAUAUGAAGGUGGAUUUGAAAGUAAUUAAAUUUAUUUUAAUUUAAUGAUUUAAGCUCUAAAAUAUGU